rnacentral:ncRNA from 1 species
CCCUUUAAUGUUUGAUGUUCUAACCUAUACUUCUGAAUCGAGGUAAGGGACACUGUCUGGUGGGUAGUUUGACUGGGGCGGUCUCCUCCCAAAGAGUAACGGAGGAGCACGAAGGUUAGCUAAUCCUGGUCGGACAUCAGGAGGUUAGUGCAAUGGCAAAAGCUAGCUUGACUGCGAGAGUGACGGCUCGAGCAGGUACGAAAGUAGGUCAUAGUGAUCCGGUGGUCCUAAUUUAUCAAAGGCACCAGCCAUAGUUAAUU